GAUGAACGCUGGCGGCGUGCCUAAUACAUGCAAGUCGAGCGAACAGACGAGGAGCUUGCUCCUUUGACGUUAGCGGCGGACGGGUGAGUAACACGUGGAUAACCUACCUAUAAGACUGGGAUAACUUCGGGAAACCGGAGCUAAUACCGGAUAAUAUUUUGAACCGCAUGGUUCGAUAGUGAAAGACGGCUUUGCUGUCACUUAUAGAUGGACCUGCGCCGGAUUAGCUAGUUGGUAAGGUAACGGCUUACCAAGGCAACGAUACGUAGCCGACCUGAGAGGGUGGUCGGCCACACUGGAACUGAGACACGGUCCAGACUCCUACGGGAGGCAGCAGUAGGGAAUCUACCGCAAUGGGCGAAAGCUUGACGGAGCAACGCCGCGUGAGUGAUGAAGGUCUUCGGAUCGUAAAACUCUGUUAUUAGGGAAGAACAAAUGUGUAAGUAACUAUGCACGUCUUGACGGUACCUAAUCAGAAAGCCACGGCUAACUACGUG
rnacentral:rRNA from 1 species